GACGAACGCUGGCGGCGUGCCUAAUACAUGCAAGUAGAACGCAGUUGCGAACGGGUGAGUAACGCGUAGGAAACUGCCUCAUAGCGGGGGAUAACUAUUGGAAACGAUAGCUAAUACCGCAUACUUUGACAUGGACCUUCGUUGUAUUAGCUAGUUGGUGAGGUAAAGGCUCACCAAGGCGACGAUACAUAGCCGGCCUGAGAGGGGGAUCGGCCACACCGGGACCGGGGAACCGGCCAGAAUCCUUAGGGGGGCAGCAGUAGGGAAUCGUCGGAAAUGGGCGGAAGUCUGAACGAGCAAAUGCGCGGGAGGGGAGGAGGUUUUCGGGUCGUAAAGCUAUGUUGUUAGGGAAGCGGUAACUACCCAGAAAGGGACGGCUAACUACGUGCCAGCAGCCGCGGUAAUAC
rnacentral:rRNA from 1 species